rnacentral:rRNA from 1 species
UACAGAGGGGGCAAGCGUUGUUCGGAAUUACUGGGCGUAAAGGGCGCGUAGGCGGCCUGUUAAGUCGAACGUGAAAUCCCCGGGCUCAACCCGGGAACUGCGUCCGAUACUGGCAGGCUUGAAUCCGGGAGAGGGAUGCGGAAUCCAGGUGUAGCGGUGAAAUGCGGUAGAUAUCUGGAGGAACACCGGUGGCGAAGGCGGCUUGCUGGGCUUGGUCGUGACGCUGAGGCGACGAAGCGUGGGGAGCGAACAGG